rnacentral:rRNA from 1 species
UACGAAGGGUGCAAGCGUUACUCGGAAUUACUGGGCGUAAAGCGUGCGUAGGUGGUUUGUUAAGUCUGUUGUGAAAGCCCCGGGCUCAACCUGGGAAUGGCAAUGGAUACUGGCAGGCUAGAGUGCGGUAGAGGGGUGUGGAAUUCCCGGUGUAGCGGUGAAAUGCGUAGAGAUCGGGAGGAACACCAGUGGCGAAGGCGGCACCCUGGACCAGCACUGACACUGAGGCACGAAAGCGUGGGGAGCAAACAGG